rnacentral:misc_RNA from 1 species
GAUGAAGAACGCAGCGAAAUGCGAUAAGUAAUGUGAAUUGCAGAAUUCAGUGAAUCAUCGAAUCUUUGAACGCACAUUGCGCCCGCCAGUAUUCUGGCGGGCAUGCCUGUUCGAGCGUCAUUACAACCCUCAGGCCCCCGGGCCUGGCGUUGGGGAUCGGCGGAAGCCCCCUGCGGGCACAACGCCGUCCCCCAAAUACAGUGGCGGUCCCGCCGCAGCUUCCAUUGCGUAGUAGCUAACACCUCGCAACUGGAGAACGGGGCGGCCACGCCGUAAAACACCCAACUUCUGAAUGUUGACCUCGAAUCAGGUAGGAAUACCCGCUGAACUUAAGCAUAUCAAUAAGCGGAGGA